UUUCUCUUGCUGAAAGUAUACACAAAGUAAAAUACCUUCUUAGCAAUUGAUGCUUAUGGCUGUUGGGUUUUUUUGUCAUGACACAAUUUUAAAGACGUCAUACUGAUGUGCUCUCCCACUGUGAUGAGCACAGUAUUUUUAGUUUUGAUACUACAAGUAUAUAGAAAACAUGGUGGUGAAGAGCUGAUGGCACUUGGAAGUUUCUGGAACCUCUUCUAAACUCUUACAUAUCUGAUAUUGCAAAUAAUUAGGCCUGAAAACUGUGAUGAUCCCAUGUGAGCCUAUGACACCUGCUCAUGACACCUUGUACAGUCAUCCUUUCUAAGACCUUUUCCAUCACUUUUCUUCCUUGGUCGUAGAUGUGCAACUCUUCAAACAGCUCCAUUCAUGUGCUGUUUGUUCUUGAGAAUGCCAAGAGACUCAGCAAUGGACUCAAGGUAUUGCCAAAUGUCCCAAUUCCCACUUUACUCACCAGUCUUCUUGUUACUAUGCUACCUGCUGAAUUUGUUGGUGUGAUUUUAUAUCAGCUUUCAAGUUACUGAUGAUCAUCUUGCACAGACCACAAACUAACUAAUGCAAAUAUUCCUAUACACUGUUAAUGUACUAUACUCCUAUGUGGCAAUAGUCAUAUUUCUAAAUACUAAAGAUUGUGUGUUGACUUAUGUCUUGCAAUUCUUGUUUAUUUGCUGUGUGUAUCACUUAUAUUGUGCAGUGUUUCCUCUAUGAGAUGAUAAAUUCAGUUUCACUGGUCUUCCUAUUCCUGCUCUCCUCUUUACUCUUUAAAUCUCUAAUGCUUCAAUCUGCCUGUAGGACUCAGCACAUACUUAGCUUCUAGCUGAAUGUACUACUUGUGGGUCUACAUGGGUCAAAUUUGGCUGAAAUGAAUUAAGAUAGAUAAUGCUGUUCCUCUUUCUUAUCUUGUCUUUGUGCUCCAUAUCCCUAAAAGCUUUUUAUUUUUUUAGGGCUUGGCAACUGUUACCAUGGUGUUCUCAGGAAUGUUUUUGAGGUCCAGCCUCUGGGUCUGUAUUAAUACAGAAGACUUUAGGCUCAAGAGCUUCUGGUUUGGUAGUUUUUGUGGGCACUGAAUUAACUGACAUUAAAGAUAAAAAUCAGUGUUAUAAAUAUAGUAAAACACGAAGUGAAAGUCAGGGGACACAUCUCACUGACUUCAUUGUCUCCUUCAUUAUCUUGGAGAACCUGGUUUUAUUUUAGUUUUCAACCUCAGAGAGCUUGUACAGUUAAUUUUGAUUUUCUUUUGAAGGUGUGAUUUUUUCCCCCUUUUCCUUUUUCCCCCUACACCUCAGAGAAUUAACUGUUAGCUGCUAAUUGAUCACACUGUACAGAUACUAUUUGGUGUGCAUUUGUACAUGUGACAGCACGUCUGCUCCAGUGACAUGCUCUGCAGCAGCUGGAAUGUAGAUGUUGAUUUUUACUCCAUGAUGUAUUUCCAGGGGAGCUGCAGCCCAGCUCAGGGUGCAGCAUCUGGUGCGUGUCACUCACCCGUCCUGCCCAGCCCUGACAGGCCAGAGGCAUCACCUGUCUCUCCUCUACUGAUGGCGGCAGAUGAAGAGAUCAUUAUGCAGGGCUGGAAGGGAAAUCCAGAGCUGUCAUGAGGGAAUACAUUCACAUGUGUGAGAACACACUGAAUGCAUUGAAUUUAGGGCUUGAUUUUGAAAUAGGAAUGUUCAUGGAAGUUUUUUCCCAAGUCAGCAUAGUAACAGAGUUGGUUUUGCCCUCAGAGGCGGAGGCAUCAGCUUUUCUGAUGCAGGUAUUUUGGCACAUUCAGAUCUGAGCUGAAUCACUGUGCACCUCUUUCCCCCUCUCAGCAGUGAGCCAUCAGAAAGGUGAAUCUGGCUUGUUCUGAGAUUCAUACACCAAGAUACAUUUUUUUUUUUGUAUUUGUAUAUAAUAUCUACAGUACAUAUUUUUUUCUGUGUGCAGGGAAGAAAGAUUAUUUCAGUGAAAAUUUUCCCUAACAAUUGCCUCCAUGCACAAAAUAGGGGGGUUUUAUGUUUUAUUUUCCUUUUUUGUUAAAUUGCUAACAUGUGAAAGCAGAAAAAGGCUGUGUUGCUCUUUUGAAGUUUCUGAUGCACCAGUUCUAUUAAUACAGUCACUAAACUCCUGAUGUAAUUCCUCUGCAAUGUCCAGUAUCAGUGAUUUUGAUUGCACAGUCAUACCUUUUCCCAUUUUGUUUUGAAAAAGAAAGUGGUUUUGUACAAAGAGUUUAAUUCCUGUAAAUGCUUUCAUUUUGGAAGCAUCUUUCUUUCUACUUUUUUAGAUAAUAUUUCAGGCAGAGGGAGGUAGGUGGCAGAGGAAGACUGCAGCUUGAGAGAGUAAGUGGCUUGACACAAGGAAACAACAAGAAAAUCAGGUUUUCAGUAGAGCACAAACAGGUAAGGUAUGUGUUUUUUAAUGUCUGCACAGACUUUAGUAGGCUGCCAAUAAUGUGAAGCUGGGAUGAGGAAAAGAAAGGCUCUCAUUUACUUCCAUGAUUAAGUCUUCCUCAACUUUAAUUGCUCAGAGUGGGCAAUAUUAUAUCAUACCAGAGGGGCUCACUGUGUCACUUCUGUUUUAUUCAGUGUGUAUUUGGCUAAGCUUUGAGACAGUGCCACUAGGAAAUGGUAACAGAGUAUAUUUUAAACAACAAAAUUGCAAAAUAAAGUAAAAAGAAAAUUCAUAGCAAAAUACUGGAGGUGGAGCCAUGCUACAGGGAAUUGUGUUUUCAUUGCCUGGAAUUGCCCCAAAUAAUGUAGCUCCUGGGUUAAGUGUAAAUAGGGGUGAUUUCAGGGCCUGGAAAAUAUCCUGCCUUUAUGAAACUGAACAGAGCCUACAUUUACUUUUUUGUUUUUAUGAUUAUAUUUAAUAGAGAACUUAGUCCUCACAGCUGCAAAAUCCAACUCCAUCUUCAGAAAUGAGGUUGGAAAAACAAAGAAGAAGGAGAGAGGAAGACAGUAAGAAAAGAAUGCAGGAGUGUACUGGCACUACAGGUACCAUCCAGUGUUUUAUGAAGUCCUGGUCCUAGAAGCCUGGAUGCAGAUGUGAUUUGAAAAGCAAUCCUGUAGCCCUGGAUUUACCCACAGGGCAGAGAAACUCCAGGUGCCAAGUCAGGUGUGACAAUAUGCGCUACCGUUUGGAUGGGAGGAUGCUGAGCCAGACCUAUGUCAGACACUUCAGCACAGUGUUCCUAGCCCUAUCUUGGGCUUAGGGCACAAUGAGGUGCAGCUGGCUCCAGGUCUGCACCCAGUGUGGUUCUCAUGCUAAGCCCAGGCAGAGCCUGAUGGAAGGACCUGGGGACUAAAGAAUUAGUCACAACUCCAAGGAAGUAAUUUUGACGUUUUGAUUAUCUGGGAUAUUCCUGCCUUCUGCUACUUGGCACCAUGGAGAAGUGGCUGUGACUGUUGGCACCUGAAUUCACUUAAUACUGUGUAUUAAGUGAUGCGUGGGUCUUUUAACACCUUGCCACUGUAGUCAGGUUCAUCAAUACGGUCCAGGCAGAAAAUGGCUUGUGGGUUGGCUACCGUUUGGACAGAAACUAACUAAAAAAACAUUCGACCUAUAGGUUUGGCGGAAAAACCUCCCCCUCUUUUCAGUGGUCUUUACCCUCAGUUAGCAGGGUCUCACCUGUCUUUUCUGCUCUGCUCCAUCAUCUUCUGUGUCUGACCCACAAUAUGCCAGCAAAUUCCCAUGCUUGCAGGGUGCCAGCAACUGUCACUCAGGAGAGAAGAUCAAGAAAAUUCCAGGCAAGGCAGAAGCGACCUGUCUGGUUGGC